GACGAACGCUGGCGGCGUGCUUAACACAUGCAAGUCGAACGGAAAGGCCCUGCUUUUGUGGGGUGCUCGAGUGGCGAACGGGUGAGUAACACGUGAGUAACCUGCCCUUGACUUUGGGAUAACUUCAGGAAACUGGGGCUAAUACCGGAUAGGAGCUCCUGCUGCAUGGUGGGGUUCGGAAAGUUUCGGCGGUUGGGGCUGGACUCGCGGCUUAUCAUCUUUUUGGUGGGGUAGUGGCUUACCAAGGCUUUGACGGGUAGCCGGCCUGAGAGGGUGACCGGCCACAUUGGGACUGGGGUACGGGCAGGACGGCUACGGGAGGCAGCGGUGGGGAACAGUGCAAGAUGGGCGGAAGGCGGAUGCAGGAACGCCGCGUGCGGGAUGACGGCCUUCGGGGAGUAACGAGCGUUCGCCUGUAACGAAGCGUGAGUGACGGUAAUGGGUAAAGAAGCACCGGCUAACUACGUG
rnacentral:rRNA from 1 species